rnacentral:lncRNA from 1 species
AUAUUAUUAUAUAUAUAUUUUUUGAAAUUUGGAUAUUAAAAGGAAAAAUAAAGACGACAAGAUCUAAGGUUAAAACUUAAAAAGAAAGGGAAAAGGAUAUGAGAAGAGCUAAAUUUACAACAGAAAAUUAUGAAAAAGGUGAAACUAAAAGGAUAGAGUUUUAUUACAAGCCUAAUAUAUGGUUUAAAAAGAAAGAAGAGAAGAUAUUUAUAGAGAAAGAGUAGAUUAAAAUAAAAAAGAUCAAUUUUUUUUUUUAUUAUGGGGAGAAAACACUAAGGUUGUAUUU